CUGUUGCUUUUGUUUCAUAUCAAAUUCACUCAUCCAUUAAUAUCUAUUGCUUUAUGUCUCCUGCCAAAUGCAUUUUAUGACUUUGACUAUUCUUUAAUCCUUAUUAAAUGAAUUAGGAUCACUUGACCUUGUUAAGAGAGGUGUGCAUGCUACAGUUAGGGCUAUAAUUGGUGUCUGGUUAUCGAAUGACAUAACUUGACCAUAGAAGACAAUCAAGCCCAAUCCUAAUUAUUAUUGACUGAUUCUAAUAAAAAACACUUAACAAAUUAGCCAUUAAUAUUGUACAUGCAAAAGUGCAUACAGAGUAUUAUGUUUUAGGAGAACUUGCAUAUAUGUUGACAUGUGCGCCUUAUUUUCACAUUUUUCAUUUUGACUUGCUAUAUAAUUUUUUUUAUUUUCAAUAACACCAUCAGUUUUAAGAUAAUUUUGGAUGCAGAAUUUAUAUAAGAUGCCGCGACAGUAGGUUUCUUCUUUUAUUUGGUGGAAACUACUUAGGCUCAUUAAAGAAAGAUAUUGCAAAUAUAAACAAUCUAGUUGCUAAUUAAUAACUUCACCAUAACGUUGCUUUAUAUUACAAAAAUGAUUCUUGGAAAAAUAAUGGCAAAAAAAAUAAUUUUAUAAGUUCAUAAUGGAGCAAUCGAGCAUCUGAUUAGGAAUCUGGAACCAUGGAAACCAAAGAAGAAAAACCUAAGCCUGACCUUGCUUGUGUUUGACUAAAUUCUGACAUGUUUAGACCCCUUAUUGCAGUUUGUUAUAUGUGUGUUAUGCAUGUGUUCUACAGGUGCCCGUGUGUUUGUGUGUAUAUGCAUAUGUCUCUACAGAGCCUGCCAUUCUUUUUGGUGUGAAAUGAUUAGUAACUUUGACUAUCUAGGAAAGCUUUUGAGGCUUGAGGAAAGCAUAGCAGCUCCAAUUGGGUCAUUUAUUUUAACUGCAGAUAAGUCAUGGGUGACACUGUACAUGGCUUGGAUCUUUGUUCUGCACCGAUCAUUGUUGUUAAAGGUUGUUGCCUAGGCACCAAAUUGGGCGAGGCUACCUAGACAAAGCCAGCUCAAACCAUACUUUUUUAAGGGUUUCCAUUACCCUUUUCUUUCUUUAUUUGAACCCCAUAUAGUACAUUUAAGAGGAUAGUGGAGGCUACCACCAACCCAGCAGCAGCUAGUAGGCUGACCAAUCGAUAUUGUUGGGUCAGCUGACCUUGAUGUGUGGUGGCACUGAUAGAAACCACUAAUGCUGGCGCAAAGCAUGUGUAUAUUUUUCAUUUUUUCUUCCUUUCUUGUUUCAUUCAUUCUUCUUCUUAAACCAGCCAUCUUCAUCUUCUUCUUCCUCUUACGAUUGUUCUUCUUUUUCUUCUGAUAUUGCUUCUUUAUCUGGUUAUAUUUUCCAUGCGUUCUCUGAUUUUCACCUUGUCCUACUUGUAGCCCCUGUUCUGCUUGCCUCAUUCUCCUUCUUGAUGGGUGUUUACUGUGGCCAAGGAAUGCGGAACCAUCUUGAACCGUCCGGUUCGGAGCGUACUGAGCCAUACUGGUGGCAGAUUGGGAUGGUUCUGGCCUUCAAAAUGAGAAAUCGGAAGGAGGGGGAGAGGGAGAAGGAAACAGAGGAAAAGAGAGAGGGAGGAGAGAGUAAGGGAGAGGAAGAGGGAGGGAGGGAGGGCCGGAGGAGGGGCUCCAUCCUCUGGACCCCUGUUUUGAAAGCCCUCUGGAGCCCGUUCUCUCUCCCUCUCCCACCUAUCUCUCUCUUCCUCUCUCCCGUUCUCCCUCUCUUGCCUUGGCUCUCUCUGCUGUGUCGGUACGGGAUCGGCAUGGGGGCAUACAACCCAUGCUACCGGCCGACCGGUAUGGGCUCCAGUACCGGCACGGCGAACCUUGGUUGUGGCCCUGCAGUCUAUUUAUUGCUUCCUCUCUGCCUUGCUCGUCCUUAUUUUCUUCCUUCUUCUAGUCCUUUCUGGGAGUUAGUUGCCUAGCUAUGUCACUACAGCUUGCUGGUUGCUGCAGUUGCAACAAUGCUAUUUCCGCUCUCCUUCUUCUUGCAGAUUUUGAUCUUUGGACUCUUAAAGUAUGGAAAAAGGUUUUGUGAUGCCAUAUGGUGAAAAAGAGUGCAUAGAUGAUUUAUGCACAUACUUAAGAGUGCAUAGAUGAUUUAUUCACAUACUUACGCAUAUUAUCAAAUGUGUGUAGAAUUAAGGCUUAAAGGCUUUCCUCGCUAGGUGGCUGGCUAGGCAAUUUGACAAUCUUGGCACCGAAUCAGUUUUUGCCAUUAAUAUUUUCCCUUUUGUCACUAUUCAUGCAUCAAAUUAUUCAUACUGUUUCUGGCCUUCAAAAUGAGAAAUCGGAAGGAGGGGGAGAGGGAGAAGGAAACAGAGGAAAAGAGAGAGGGAGGAGAGAGGAAGGGAGAGGAAGAGGGAGGGAGGGCCGGAGGAGGGGCUCCACCCUCUGGACCCCUGUUUUGAAAGCCCUCCGGAGCCCGUUCUCUCUCCCUCUCCCACCUAUCUCUCUCUUCCUCUCUCCCGUUCUCCCUCUCUUGCCUUGGCCCUCUCCGCUGUGUCGGUACGGGAUCGGCAUGGGGGCAUACCGACCCAUGCUACCGGCCGACCGGUAUGGGCUCCGAUACCGGCACGGCGAACCUUGGUUGUGGCCCUGCAGUCUAUUUGCUGCUUCCUCUCUGCCUUGCUCGUCCUUAUUUUCUUCCUUCUUCUAGUCCUUUCUGGGAGUUAGUUGCCUAGCUAUGUCACUACAGCUUGCUGGUUGCUGCAGUUGCAACAAUGCUAUUUCCGCUCUCCUUCUUCUUGCAGAUUUUGAUCUUUGGACUCUUAAAGUAUGGAAAAAGGUUUUGUGAUGCCAUAUGGUGAAAAAAAGAGUGCAUAGAUGAUUUAUGCACAUACUUAAGAGUGCAUAGAUGAUUUAUUCACAUACUUACGCAUAUUAUCAAAUGUGUGUAGAAUUAAGGCUUAAAGGCUUUCCUCGCUAGGUGGCUGGCUAGGCAAUUUGACAAUCUUGGCACCGAACCAGUUUCUGCCAUUAAUAUUUUCCCUUUUGUCACUAUUCAUGCGUUAAAUUAUUCAUACUGUUUUAGCCUGCUUUUAUGAUAAUUUACAGCUGGCUGGUAUUUAAGUUUCAGAAAUUUCUUAUUAUCUUUAUAGGAGUGUUACUCAUGUCGAGGCUCCAGCAUGUUUUGUUAUAACAAAGAAGACCUUGCAGAUCCUGCUAAUGUUAAAAUUUUCAGCAACUUUUGUAGAAUUUUUUGUCAACCAUAUUUCCCUGUGAAGACUAUAUCAAGUGAUUAUAAACAAGCAAACGCCAAGUGACCUGUUGUCACCUAACUUUGUUGGACGUUCAGAAGCCAUACGUAGGAAGCGAGGAAAUAUUAUGGCUAAGUAUCCAAGUGGAAUAAAGAAUUGAAAUUGGGAUGCAAAUGUUUUUCAUGUGCAUAUCAUGUGUCCUAAACUAGUGCAAUUAAUUUGAAUAUGUGGUGCUGAUUUAACAAUAAGACAAGUGUACAAGUGCAUGCUUGCGGGUGUAGCCUGUUGAAUUUGAAACUUGGUAGUUAAGCGAGCAGAAGUUGAUGGCUUUGAUACAACUAACCUUGUUUUUUACGUGCCAAUGUGCCCUUCUAACCUCAGACGGUAUCAAUGCUGGGAAGAAGUAUGGACACUGAAAUUUGGUGCAUUUAUUGAUAUAUGCUAUUUUCAUAGCCUCUCUCUCUCUCUCUGAUAGUCAUUUUGAUAGCCCUUCAAAGCAUUCUUCUAAUUUUAUUUUACUAGAUUUCACCAGGGAGAUGCAUGUGAGAGAUAGUAUGGCCCAAUUUGUUUAAAUAUUUUUUAUUGUUCAUGUAAUUUUACAAAACACCCCGUUUUGGAAGGUGCAAUUCCCUUCUCUCCCAUGAGUAAUAAGCAACCAAAUAGGGCUUAUUUGUUUAAAAUGGGGAGUAUUUGUGGUGGUGUGGAGCCUCAUGAAUGAUUCAUGCAUACAGGCGUUAGGUUUUAAUGUUGAUGCAAACUUGUCAAGAAAUACGUUUGUUAGAAGUCCUAGUAUUGCUAAGUUAACCGAACUUUGAUGCGUUUAUUGAUAAAACCAAUUUUAUUUUUCUGUCAAAGCACUCCUC